UGGAACAGCCUUGGGACCCGGAGGCAGUCCCUUCACCCUUCUUAGCCUCUGUAUUCUCAACUAUACGGCCACUGGUGUUCAGAGGUUAAUGUGUGCAAGGACCCACAGCAGGCGACCGGAGCAGCCAGGAUCCAAACCCAGGCACGGUGGGGGAACUGCGGCCUUAGCCGUGACGCAGCCCGGCCUUAUGGCAGGCGAAUUCCUGUGAUGCUGCCCCAGCACACACUCACAUAUACACACAACACACACAUAUACACACAACACACACACUCACAUAUACACAACACACACACAGAGGCACACUCACAUAUACAUACAACACAUACAUAUACACACAACACACACACACAGGCACACUCACAUAUACACACAACACACACACACAGGUAUACUCACAUAUACAUUACUCACAGGCACACUCACAUGACCACAUCCUCUUCCUAUACACUCACACACAUGCUCACAAACACAAAAAAACACUUUUUUUUUUUGAGACGGAGUUUUACUGUUACCCAGUGCAGUGUCGUGAUCAUAGCUCACUGCAGCUUCAACCUUCCUGUCUCAAGUGAUCCUCCUGCCUCAGUCUCCUGAGUAACUGGGACUAUAGGCAUGCAUCACCAUGCCCAGCUAAUUUUUUAUUUUUUGUUGUAGAGACAGACUCUCGAUAUGUUGCCUAGGCUGGUCUUGAACUCCUGGGCUCAAGCAGUCUGUCCACCUCAGCCUCCCAAUUAUACACUAGGAUUACAGGCAUGAGCCACUGUGCCUGGCCCCACAUCCUCUUUCUAUACACGCACACACAAACACACACACACAACCAUGUCCUCUUUCUACAUGCACAGACACACAACUACACUCUGUUUCUAAACACACACACACACACGCCACCUCUUUUUCCAGUGACCUAUCUUUGCUUCAGACACCAGCACCUUGGAGGCCUCCAGCUACAGACUCACCUGCUCGAGGUGUUGCUUGAUAACAGCUGAAACAGCUUCCUCCAUCAGCCCAGGUUGUCAGUUGCAAGGAGCAAAACCUACCUGUGGUUAACUGAAGCAGAAGAGGGAGUUGACGGAAAGGUAGUGGUUGCCUCAAAGAUGAAAGAGACUCCAGGAGAACCGAGUUUGGGCAGGACUUCCCCAGGCUCAGGGACGUGAAGGCAGAAAUGCGCCCCUGAGAACACUGUACCCCUCAGGUGGUCAGGACCCAGGCGGCCAUAGGUUUUGCUGCAGUAACACACAGGCUUGAGAUACCACCUGCUCUAAGCGGCAGCUGUUCUUUCUGGUUCUUUCCCACAGUAGGUUCAUCGUGGAUCAGCAGGAGGCCUCCUUCCACUUCAUCACCUAGGGAUCUAGCCACCAUGCCAGAGGGAAGAGAAAGAGCAACUGGGGGUGGGGGGUUCUUAAGGCUCCCGAUUCAAUGAGCUCUGGACAGGGGCGAGGGGCUGGAGAUUGAGUUGAUCACCAACUGCGGAUGAUUUAAUCAAGCACGACUGUGUGAUGCAGCCUCCGUAAAAAGCCCUAAACAUGGGGUUCAAAGAGCUUCUGGGUUGGGGAACAGGUCAAGGUGCUGGGGAGGGCAUGGAAGCUUGGUGCCUCUUCCCCCGUAUCUUGUCCUAUGCAUCUCUUCUUUGUGGCUGUUUCUGAGUUGUAGCCCUUAUAAUAAACCAGCAAUAGUAA
rnacentral:lncRNA from 10 species